AUUGAACGCUGGCGGCAUGCCUUACACAUGCAAGUCGAGCGCGAAAGGGGGGCAACCCCGAGUAGAGCGGCGGACGGGUGAGUAACACAUCGGAACGUGCCCAGUAGUGGGGGACAACCUCGAGAAAUCGAGGCUAAUACCGCAUACGACCCACGGGUGAAAGCGGGGGACCGCAAGGCCUCGCGCUAUUGGAGCGGCCGAUGUCCGAUUAGCUAGUUGGCGGGGUAAGAGCCCACCAAGGCGACGAUCGGUAGCUGGUCUGAGAGGACGACCAGCCACACUGGGACUGAGACACGGCCCAGACUCCUACGGGAGGCAGCAGUGGGGAAUUUUGGACAAUGGGGGCAACCCUGAUCCAGCCAUGCCGCGUGCGGGAAGAAGGCCU
rnacentral:rRNA from 1 species